GAGAACGAGAAGCACACUGUCCA
rnacentral:siRNA from 1 species